rnacentral:misc_RNA from 1 species
CGGAGCUGGGGAUACUCCCACUCAGGCUUUACAGGUUGAGCUGCAUUUCCUUUCUUAUUUAUUUUGGAUGUAUGCUAUAUUAUAUGAGGAAGCUCUAUCAGCUUUCUGCUUUUCCCCAUUUUUUAUACUUUUCUUAUUUUCGUUCUAUUGUGCCAUAUUUAAAAAUUUUUUAUAAGCUUUUAGGCUUUGCGGUGUUUAUGCAUACGAGGUUUUACAAGUUGAGUGGCACCUUCUUAUUUAUUUAAAUCCAUUAAUAAUUUCAUAAUGAAUUUAUACUGUUAUUAUUUUACCCAUUUUCCCAUCAGACCAGACUUAUGCAACAUUCUGCUUUUAAGAUGGGAUGCGUGUGCAGGUAGCCGGUUUGAAUUUUGAAGCUUAGCCAGAAGUAGAAAAUAACUACCAAACACUUUGUGUGAAAUUUAUUGAAUUUUGCCAACCACUUGCUUCUGCAGUGCCUUGUGAGCUUUGAGCUCAUAUAUUUUAGUUAUUGUGGGAGUCUUAGAAUAAUAAAUACUCUCCUUAUAUGGGGGAAGUGCGUGUGAACAGUUUGUGCAGUAUCAUUUGGUAAGACAGAGGUAGAAGAUAAUAAGAGCACAUGCAUAUAACUUUGCCAACCAGUGGCUUUUGAGCUUUGCGUCCUUUUCUUCUUUUGUUGAUUGGCAGCUGUGUUCAAUACUUUGUUCUGUUUUUAGGUGUUUACUAAGAAGUAAGAAUAUCAUUUAAAAAAAAAACAGUUUACUAUGGGUGUUUACUUAUUGUUUAUCAUGGCAAGUGGAAGAAUGUUUUGAUUCAGCUGAGUUUUGUAGCAUAAAGCAUCCAAAUAUCUUUUUGAGAUUGUUUGUUUCCUUCUGGAUCCUUUUUUUUCUUAAAUUCAUUUCAUCAUAUCUAUUUUAUUAUAUCUUAUUUCUUUACUUCUUCAUUCAUGUGCCAUGUGUAGAUCAUGCAAUUACCUGACUUUUGAAACGCUAUCGCUAUUUACAAAUUAUUUCUUGGUUAACCGGGUAAAAUAUUUUGAUUUCUGUUGGAUCCAUGCCAACAAUUAUAUAGCGUUAUCAUGUUAAUGGUUGUGAUCAAUUGGGAUAGUGAUGAUCCGAAUGGGGCUAUGAUCUUCAAUUCACAGCCUGAUUAAUGUGCUUUCAAAGUGCCGUUCAAUGGCGAUCGAGACACAUAGAUGGGUAAAAAGGUGGUGAAUAUUCUCUCAAUGAAUGAAUUUACUGUAUUUUCUUUCUUAUGUGUUCAUAACCUGAUUAGGGUAACCCAGUACCUAGACUAGUGAAUUUGUAUUGAUAAUUAUCGAGAAGUAGAUAUAUACACACUUGUUUUAUGAUCUGAUGUUAUAAAUCCUGCUUUUUGACUUUCUGAAGCACAAUGGACUGUCAGAUUGAGGGCACUAGGACAUAAGGAAGGUAGGAAUUAUUAAAAAUAUUGAACUUUUAUGAAAAUAAAGAAAUGAAAGUUAAUGUACCAAUCGGCCAGAUGCUCGAUUUUAGAGUUGUUUUUUCCCCCCUUGAAUUUGGGCAUCUGGUAUAAUUUAUUAGUCUUUUCUGGGUUGACAUAGUAUGUGUGCAAGGUGCCUGAUGAACUUUUGUGGAAAUCUAGGAUAUUUUUUAACAUAUUGCUUAACAGAUGUGACUAGUCUUUUG